GUUAGGGUAUCACUGAUACAUCUGUUGCAGCGUACCAGGAUGGAGUCACCAACUUGAAGAGGCCAGAGAAGUGCAAUUUUGAUCUUCUCUUCAUUCUUCAUGCUGCAGUAAAAACAUAAGAUUGUCAGAGGAAGUUCAAAGGGUUUGAUGAAGAGGAAUGGAUAUCUGCAUGAGGGAGGGACACCCAAAGACACCUACAGUAUAUGGAAGUUAUGAAGCAACAGCGAGUGCACUAACGAGACCCGAGUACAAAACAUCUACAGAAGAGGAGACAUGACCGAAUAAAAAUGACACAGGA